rnacentral:rRNA from 1 species
AGUGAACGCUGGCGGUAGGCCUAACACAUGCAAGUCGAACGGCAGCACAGUAAGAGCUUGCUCUUACGGGUGGCGAGUGGCGGACGGGUGAGGAAUACAUCGGAAUCUACUUUUUCGUGGGGGAUAACGUAGGGAAACUUACGCUAAUACCGCAUACGACCUACGGGUGAAAGCAGGGGAUCUUCGGACCUUGCGCGAUUGAAUGAGCCGAUGUCGGAUUAGAUAGUUGGCGGGGUAAAGGCCCACCAAGGCGUCGAUCCGUAGCUGGUCUGAGAGGAUGAUCAGAGACAGUGGGACUGAGACACGGUCCAGACUGCUACGGGAACACGGAGUGGGGAAUAUUGGACAAUGGGCGCAAGGCUGAUCCCGCCAUACCGCGUGGGUGAAGAAGGCCUUCGGGUUGUAAAGCCGUUUUGUUGGGAAAGAAAAGCAGCAGGUUAAUACCCCGCUGUUCUGACGGUACCCAAAGAAUAAGCACCGGCUAACUCCGUG